UGUGUUAAUCACAAUGGCCACUGUUAGUAGGAUGGAAUAGCAAUAGAACCUUUCCCAACAUUAAAGCAGAAAGUUGAUUAGUUUGUAUUAAUGCAUAGAAGCAUAGGAAAUUUUGCAACAUUAAAAGCACCGAAUCGGAGAGAAGCAAUUUGCUGGAACCGUUCCCCAACAUUAAAGUUAAUUACAAGCAGAAAGUUAGUUUGCAUUGGUUGUAAAAUAUAUAAUGUUGCGCACUGCAUUGUUCAGUAAUGAUGGAGGAUGGGGCUGGUAUGCAGG